rnacentral:tRNA from 1 species
GGAUGGGUGGCCGAGUGGUUUAAGGCACCGGUCUUGAAAACCGGCGUGGGUGCAAGCCCACCGUGAGUUCGAAUCUCACCCCAUCCG